CUUUACACUCAUAUUGCGAAUGCCAAAUUAGGGUCUGGGAUAUAUGGUUACCUGUUCUUGUAGUCUUAAUGCAUACCUCACAGCUAGGAGUGUUGGUACCUCUACCUUCCUGAAUACAAAAAUACACAUAAAUAAACAUUAUUAAAAAUACAUCUUUCGUCAUCAUCCUCAGUCUUCGUCCGUGUGAAGGCACCUCAGCUUCCAG